rnacentral:rRNA from 1 species
AUUGAACGCUGGCGGCAUGCCUUAUACAUGCAAGUCGAACGGCAGCAUGAUCUAGCUUGCUAGAUUGAUGGCGAGUGGCGAACGGGUGAGUAAUACAUCGGAACGUGCCCUGUAGUGGGGGAUAACUAGUCGAAAGAUUAGCUAAUACCGCAUACGACCUGAGGGUGAAAGUGGGGGACCGCAAGGCCUCAUGCUAUAGGAGCGGCCGAUGUCUGAUUAGCUAGUUGGUGAGGUAAAGGCUCACCAAGGCGACGAUCAGUAGCUGGUCUGAGAGGACGAUCAGCCACACUGGGACUGGGACACGGCCCAGACUCCUACGGGAGGCAGCAGUGGGGAAUUUUGGACAAUGGGGGCAACCCUGAUCCAGCAAUGCCGCGUGUGUGAAGAAGGCCUUCGGGUUGUAAAGCACUUUUGUCCGGAAAGAAAUCGCACUUACUAAUAUUAGGUGUGGAUGACGGUACCGGAAGAAUAAGGACCGGCUAACUACGUGCCAGCAGCCGCCGCAGUAA